UGAAACUAGUGUCUGGUGGAUACUUUAAAUUAUGGUUUCAGUAUCUCAAUUGGUUUUAUACAAUAUGAGUAUUCGAUAUUGCUAAUCUAGAAUACUGUUUCUGUAGUUGAAGAGCAUGUGUAAAGAAGGUGCAUGUUAUGUGGUUUUGUUGUGCUGCCAAUUGAAAUACUACCUCAUAUCCAGGGUGAUAAUGUGCCCCCACCGUUUACUUCUUUUGAAGCUACGAGCUUCCCGUCUGAAAUUCUUAGAGAGGUAUUGACAUUUGCUUUAAUUAUGAAGAACAUUUCC